AGUUGAAAUUCAAAUUCGCGUUUAGAUCCACAUUUACAGUUUGGAACCUUUGGAAAGGAGGAAGAAGAAGAAGAAGAAGGAGGUUUCGGAUGUGAUUGUGGCUGCUUUUUGUUGUUGUUUCCUUUUUGUCGUUUUGGUGCUUCCUUCUUCUUCUU
rnacentral:ribozyme from 15 species